rnacentral:rRNA from 1 species
AUUGAACGCUGGCGGAAUGCUUUACACAUGCAAGUCGAGCGGCAGCACGGGGGCAACCCUGGUGGCGAGCGGCGAACGGGUGAGUAAUACAUCGGAACAUGCCCAGUCGUGGGGGAUAACACCUCGAAAGAAGUGCUCAUACCGCAUACGUCCUGAGGGAGAAAGCGGGGGAUCUUCGGACCUCGCGCGAUUGGAGUGGCCGAUGUCAGAUUAGCUAGUUGGUGGGGUAAAGGCCUACCAAGGCAACGAUCUGUAGCUGGUCUGAGAGGAUGAUCAGCCACAAUGGGACUUGGACACGGCCCAGACUCGUACGGGAGGCAGCAGGGGGGAAUUUUGGACAAUGGGGGCAACCCUGAUCCAGCCAUUCCGCGUGAGUGAAGAAGGCCUUCGGGUUGUAAAGCUCUUUCGGCAGGGACGAAACGGCGAGCUCUAACAUAGCUUGCUAAUGACGGUACCUGAAGAAGAAGCACCGGCUAACUACGUGCCAGCCGCCGCAGUAAAAC